rnacentral:rRNA from 1 species
UGUGAACGCUGGCGGUAGGCCUAACACAUGCAAGUCGAACGGCAGCACAGUAAGAGCUUGCUCUUACGGGUGGCGAGUGGCGGACGGGUGAGGAAUACAUCGGAAUCUACUUUUUCGUGGGGGAUAACGUAGGGAAACUUACGCUAAUACCGCAUACGACCUACGGGUGAAAGCAGGGGAUCUUCGGACCUUGCGCGACUGAAUGAGCCGAUGUCGGAUUAGCUAGUUGGCGGGGUAAGGGCCCACCAAGGCGACGAUCCGUAGCUGGUCUGAGAGGAUGAUCAGCCACACUGGAACUGAGACACGGUCCAGACGCCUACGGGAGGCAGCAGUGGGGAAUAUUGGACAAUGGGCGCAAGCCUGAUCCAGCCAUACCGCGUGGGUGAAGAAGGCCUUCGGGUUGUAAAGCCCUUUUGUUGGGAAAGAAAAGCAGCAGGUUAAUACCCCGCUGUUCUGACGGUACCCAAAGAAUAAGCACCGGCUAACUUCGUG